rnacentral:rRNA from 1 species
AUUGAACGCUGGCGGUAGGCCUAACACAUGCAAGUCGAGCGGAUGAGAAGAGCUUGCUCUUCGAUUCAGCGGCGGACGGGUGAGUAAUGCCUAGGAAUCUGCCUGGUAGUGGGGGACAAUGUUUCGAAAGGAACGCUAAUGCCGCAUACGUCCUACGGGAGAAAGCAGGGGACCUUCGGGCCUUGCGCUAUCAGAUGAGCCUAGGUCGGAUUAGCUAGUUGGUGAGGUAAUGGCUCACCAAGGCGACGAUCCGUAACUGGUCUGAGAGGAUGAUCAGUCACACUGGAACUGAGACACGGUCCAGACUCCUACGGGAGGCAGCAGUGGGGAAUAUUGGACAAUGGGCGAAAGCCUGAUCCAGCCAUGCCGCGUGUGUGAAGAAGGUCUUCGGAUUGUAAAGCACUUUAAGUUGGGAGGAAGGGCAGUAAGUUAAUACCUUGCUGUUUUGACGUUACCGACAGAAUAAGCACCGGCUAACUCUGUGCCAGCCGCCGCGGUAAAAC